rnacentral:tRNA from 1 species
UGGGGUAUGGCUCAGUGGUAGGGCCCAUGCUUAGUAUGCAUGAGGCCUUGGGUUUGACCCCCCAGUCCCAA